rnacentral:sRNA from 1 species
AGACCCCCUGGUCGAGUAUCAUCACUCACCACCAUCACCUUCACUCAACCAGACAAGCUGAGCACAAGGAAGAGAAGAGGAGAAGACAAAGUGUUUGGAAGCGGCCUGGACCUCCAUCGGAUCACGAAGCCAAUCUCGGCCCAUUAUCAUUCUAUGGGCCGGGCGAUUAGGUUAUUGGCCCGUCUACUAUCAUUUUAUUUCGUUUUGUAUAAAUAGAUGUCUUAGGGUUCUGUCCGGAGACAUCUAGUCGACAUUGAGUUUUUGCUUCAGUUUUAUUUUCUGUUUUACUCUGCUACGCCGCUUUUGCUUCUGCAACCUGUAAUUCGAGAUUUUUCCAAGUUAUUCAGAUUCCGCAUUUGAUUUCAUCUGUCAUCCUGUUUCUCUACUCUUUAUCUCUUUACUUAUGCAAUAUUAUCAUUUAUCUGCGUUUAUGUCUUUGAGCAUGUUGUCUGAGUAGUGACUUAGAAUUCUUAGGGAUGGGAUAGAGUAGUUGUGGAAUCCGUAGUCUGUAGAAUGGUUAAGUUUUAGAAUUGAUUGAAUCCCUUUAGGACUAGUUGUGUUUACUGCUUAUUUCUUUCUGAUCAACUAGAAUUCGAUCCCAAGCAUUCCCGCACCCAGAAGGUGUUCGAUGGAAUGAUUGAUCCACUAGUUCCUAAGAUAUGCGUCUCUAUCCCAAGGGAUUGGCCGUUUAGAGCGUUUAUUGACUUUAUCAGUCUGUUCUUAUUGCCUGCAUAGAUAGAUUCCGUUAAUGGGAAUUAGUCUGGGCUAGGUUUGCUUGAGGAUUUCUAUCACGGGAGUGAAUUGAUCUGUUGUUGAACCUGUUGUCUAGGGAUAGCUUGAUUGCGCUUGUUAACCAUUCGAAUAGGCUAGGAUACCACUCUAUUCAAUUACCCCAUCCUUAGGAAUUUCUCUUCUAUUUGAUUUCUCUGUUUUAUCGUUAUCGCUUAAUCGUUCUCAUUGCCUGUUUCUUCGUUUUGCAAUUACUCGACCAAUUUACUCGACCACACCCAGUGUCUGGCAACAGACUGUGCAGUCGAGUACAGCUGUCUUGUUUCCUGUCUGUUACUCGACCACACCCAGUGUCUGGCAACAGACUGUGCAGUCGAGUAUAUCUGUUUCAUAUCCUGCCUGUUACUCGACCACACCCCACUUCUGGCAUCAGCCUGUUGUGGUCGAGUGAUUUUAGUAAUUCUGUUAUUGUUUCUGUUUUCUGCAUGUUCACUUAGGACUGUUAGAAACCCCAAAACUGUUAUUGCUUGGCUUGACUUAGUGACUUCUGAUCACAUCUUAUCUGUUUGCAUCACACUCAUUUGGAUUGACACCUAAAAUACUACAAUGACAUGAUUGGUGUUUUAGGAUUAAUUGACUAAAAACCUAUUAUCAAUUUGGCGCCGUUGCCGGGGAUAAUUGCAUAAAAACCU